ACCAAACUGUUGCCUCGGCGGGGUCACGCCCCGGNNNNNNNGCAGCCCCGGAACCAGGCGCCCGCCGGAGGGACCAACCAWACUCUUUCUGUAGUCCCCUCGCGGACGUUAUUUCUUACAGCUCUGAGCAAAAAUUCAAAAUGAAUCAAAACUUUCAACAACGGAUCUCUUGGUUCUGGCAUCGAUGAAGAACGCAGCGAAAUGCGAUAAGUAAUGUGAAUUGCAGAAUUCAGUGAAUCAUCGAAUCUUUGAACGCACAUUGCGCCCGCCAGUAUUCUGGCGGGCAUGCCUGUCCGAGCGUCAUUUCAACCCUCGAACCCCUCCGGGGGUCCGGCGUUGGGGAUCGGGAACCCCUAAGACGGGAUCCCGGCCCCGAAAUACAGUGGCGGUCUCGCCGCAGCCUCUCAUGCGCAGUAGUUUGCACAACUCGCACCGGGAGCGCGGCGCGUCC
rnacentral:rRNA from 1 species